GAAAAGUGUGGCCGAGCGGUUGAAGGCACCGGUCUUGAAAACCGGCGACCCGAAAGGGUUCCAGAGUUCGAAUCUCUGCGCUUCCGCCA
rnacentral:tRNA from 1 species